rnacentral:rRNA from 1 species
UCAAGCUAUAAAGAGCGCAAGGGGAAUGCCUUGGCAUCAGGAGCCGACGAAGGACGUGACAAGCUGCGAUAAGCUUCGGGGAGGAGCAAAUAUCCUAUGAUCCGGAGAUUUCCGAAUGGGGAAACCCACUGGAGCAAUACUCCAGUAACGUGCAUUGAAUCAAAUAGGUGUACGUGGGGAACCGCCUGAACUGAAACAUCUAAGUAGGGCGAGGAAAAGACAUCAACCGAGAUUCCGCUAGUAGUGGCGAGCGAACGCGGAGGAGGCCAAACCGGAGGAUUUAUUCUCCGGGGUUCGGACUUGCAUCAAGAUCAGAGGAGCCUAAAAGAACGGCAUGGGAAGGCCGGCCACAGAGGGUGAGAGCCCCGUAUUUGAAAGGCGAAACUGACAGCGAGUAUCCAGAGUACCGCGGGACACGAGGAACCCCGUGGGAAAACGGGUGGACCACCAUCCAAGCCUAAAUACUACCUGAUGACCGAUAGAGGAGCAGUACCGUGAGGGAAAGGUGAAAAGGACCCCGGGAGGGGAGUGAAAGAGAACCUGAAACCUUGUGCUUACAAGCACUCAAAGCACGUUAAAGUGUGAUGAGGUACUUUUUGUAGAACGGUCCGGCGAGUUAUAGUAACGAGCAAGCUUAAGGUAUUCAGUACCGGAGGCGAAGCGAGAGCGAGUCUGAAUAGGGCGCAUAAAGUUCGUUGCCAUAGACCCGAAACCGGGUGACCUAACCAUGAGCAGGCUGAAGUGAGAGUAAAAUCUCAUGGAGGGCCGAACGCACGUUCGUUGCAAUGACCGGCGAUGACUUGUGGUUAGCGGAGAAAUUCCAAUCGAACUCGGAGAUAGCUGGUUCUCCCCGAAAUAGCUUUAGGGCUAGCGUUAUCUUAGAUUACCGGAGGUAAAGCACUGAAUGGGCUAGGGGGCGAUAAGCUUACUGAACCCUAUCAAACUCAGAAUGCCGGCUAAUUGAUGGAUAGCAGUCAGACAGUGUGAGAUAAGUUUCAUUGUCAAAAGGGAAACAGCCCAGACCCACAGCUAAGGUCCCUAAUGCAUGCUAAGUGGAAAACGAUGUGGAAUUGCGAAAACAACCAGGAUGUUGGCUUAGAAGCAGCCACUCAUUAAAAGAGUGCGUAAUAGCUCACUGGUCGAGUGACUCUGCGCGGAAAAUAUAACGGGGCUAAGCAUGCAACCGAAGCUUGGGAUUGUCAAAAGACAGUGGUAGGGGAGCGUCGUGUACGGGGUGAAGUCGCAUCGGAAGGAGCGGUGGACUGUACACGAGUGAGAAUGCCGGAAUGAGUAGCGAGAAUUAUGUGGGAAUCAUAAUGGCCGAAAAUCUAAGGUUUCUUGGGGAAGGUUCGUCCGCCCAAGGUAAGCCGGGAGCUAAGGCGAGGCCGCAAGGCGUAGUCGAUGCACAUACGGUAAAGAUUCCGUAGCCGCCGAACUUUAAGUCAGAGGGACACUUGCAGAUAGCGGAACCCAGCCGUUGGUUGAGCUGGGCGAAAGGGACUGAAUUUAGUAGGGAAGUCCGCGAUGCUGAAAGGCGAGAAAAGCUCUGAUGAAUACUAAGGCGCCCGUACCGCAAACCGACACAGGUAGAUGAGGAGAGAAUCCUAAGGCCAACGGGAGAAGGGUUGUUAAGGAACUCGGCAAAUUGACCCCGUAACUUCGGAAGAAGGGGAGCCCCGAAAGGGGCCGCAGUGAAUAGGCCCAAGCAACUGUUUACCAAAAACACAGGUUUAUGCUAAAUCGAAAGAUGACGUAUAUGAGCUGACGCCUGCCCGGUGCCGGAAGGUUAAGAGGAGAGCUUAGAGCAAUCGAAGGUUUGAAUUGAAGCCCCGGUAAACGGCGGCCGUAACUAUAACGGUCCUAAGGUAGCGAAAUUCCUUGUCAGGUAAGUUCUG